rnacentral:rRNA from 1 species
GACGUAGGGGGCGAGCGUUGUCCGGAGUUACUGGGCGUAAAGGGCGUGCAGGCGGUGCGGUAAGUUUAGCGUGACAGUCUCCGGCUUAACUGGAGAAGGCCGCUGAAAACUGCUGGACUUGAGGGCCAGAGAGGGACAUAGAAUUCCGGGUGGAGUGGUGAAAUGCGUAGAUAUCCGGAGGAAUACCAAAGGCGAAGGCAGUGUCCUGGCUGGCAACUGACGCUGAGGCGCGAAAGCUAGGGGAGCAAACAGG